UACGUAGGGGGCUAGCGUUGUCCGGAUUUAUUGGGCGUAAAGCGCGCGCAGGCGGUUCGUUAAGUCCGGUGUGAAAGCUCCCGGCUCAACUGGGAGAGGUCAUCGGAUACUGGCGGACUUGAGGAAGGUAGAGGAAGGUGGAAUUCCCGGUGUAGUGGUGAAAUGCGUAGAUAUCGGGAGGAACACCAGUGGCGAAGGCGGCUUCCUGGCCUGUUCUUGACGCUGAGGCGCGAAAGCUAGGGGAGCAAGCGGG
rnacentral:rRNA from 1 species